rnacentral:rRNA from 1 species
UACGAGGGGUGCAAGCGUUAUUCGGAAUUAUUGGGCGUAAAGGGUGCGUAGACGGUAUGUUAAGCUCGCUUUCAAAUCCUCCGGCCUAACUGGAGAUAGGGAGUGGGAACUGGCAAACUAGAGGGUGGAAGAGAGAAGUGGAAUUUCCGGAGUAGCGGUAAAAUGCGUAGAUCUCGGAAGGAACACCGAUGGCGAAGGCAGCUUCUUGGUCCAUCCCUGACGUUGAGGCACGAAAGCGUGGGGAGCAAACAGG